AUGGAGACUAUUCUGCAAGUACUCCUAGGGAUACUGGGGUUCCAAGCAGCCUGGAUCAGUAGCCAAGAACUGGAACAGAGUCCUCAGUCCUUGAUCAUCCAAGAGGGAGAGAAUCUCACCAUAAACUGCAGGUCAUCAAAAACAUUAUAUGCCUUACACUGGUACAAGCAAAAGUAUGGUGAAGGUCUUAUCUUCUUAAUGAUGCUACAGAUAGGUGGGGAAGAGAAAAGUCAUGAAAAAAUAACUGCCAAGUUGGAUGAGAAAAAGCAGCAAAGUUCCCUGCAUAUCACAGCCUCCCAGCCAAGCCACACAGGCAUCUACCUCUGUGGAGCAGAUACACAGUGA